rnacentral:rRNA from 1 species
AUCUAUGGCCAUAUCACGCUGCACAUGCCUGAUCUCAGAAGUUCACUAGGGUUGGGCCUGGGAAGUGCUUGGAUGGGAGAAAUAGGAUCAGGAUAGUACAGCCAGAGUGAAGCUUGGGGCUUUUGUAU